GAUGAACGCUAGCGGGAGGCCUAACACAUGCAAGCCGAGUGGGAUUUGUUGGUUAGCUUGCUAACUAACAAUGAGAGCGGCGUACGGGUGCGUAGCACGUGUGCAACCUGCCUUUAUCUGGGGGAUAGCCUUUCGAAAGGAAGAUUAAUACCCCAUAACAUAUUGAUUGGCAUCAGUUAAUAUUGAAAGCUCCGGCGGAUAGAGAUGGGCACGCGUAAGAUUAGCUAGUUGGUGAGGUAACGGCUCACCAAGGCUGCGAUCUUUAGGGGGCCUGAGAGGGUGAUCCCCCACACUGGUACUGAGACACGGACCAGACUCCUACGGGAGGCAGCAGUGAGGAAUAUUGGACAAUGGGUGAGAGCCUGAUCCAGCCAUCCCGCGUGAAGGACUAAGGACCUAUGGUUUGUAAACUUCUUUUAUACAGGGAUAAACCUACUCUCGUGAGGGUAGCUGAAGGUACUGUAUGAAUAAGCACCGGCUAACUCCGUG
rnacentral:rRNA from 1 species